rnacentral:rRNA from 1 species
CAGCAGCCUCGGUAAUACGAAGGGUGCAAGCGUUAAUCGGAAUUACUGGGCGUAAAGCGUGCGUAGGCGGUGAGUUAAGUCUGCUGUGAAAUCCCCGGGCUCAACCUGGGAAUGGCAGUGGAUACUGGCUCGCUAGAGUGUGUCAGAGGAUGGUGGAAUUCCCGGUGUAGCGGUGAAAUGCGUAGAGAUCGGGAGGAACAUCAGUGGCGAAGGCGGCCAUCUGGGACAACACUGACGCUGAGGCACGAAAGCGUGGGGAGCAAACAGGAUUAGAUACCCCGGUAGUCCCUGUCUCUUAUAC